GAUGAACGCUGGCGGCGUGCCUAAUACAUGCCAGUCGAGCGAACGGACGAGAAGCUUGCUUCUCUGAUGUUAGCGGCGGACGGGUGAGUAACACGUGGAUAACCUACCUAUAAGACUGGGAUAACUUCGGGAAACCGUAGCUAAUACCGGAUAAUAUUUUGAACCGAAUGGUUCAAAAGUGAAAGACGGUCUUGCUGUCACUUAUAGAUGGAUCCGCGCUGCAUUAGCUAGUUGGUAAGGUAACGGCUUACCAAGGCAACGAUGCAUAGCCGACCUGAGAGGGUGAUCGGCCACACUGGAACUGAGACACGGUCCAGACUCCUACGGGAGGCAGCAGUAGGGAAUCUUCCGCAAUGGGCGAAAGCCUGACGGAGCAACGCCGCGUGAGUGAUGAAGGUCUUCGGAUCGUAAAACUCUGUUAUUAGGGAAGAACAUAUGUGUAAGUAACUGUGCACAUCUUGACGGUACCUAAUCAGAAAGCCACGGCUAACUACGUG
rnacentral:rRNA from 1 species